GCAGAGAUGGUGUUAACAGUAGCAUAGAGGUCUCCAAAACUUCUGGUCUGGGUGCAAAUCCUAGUCUCUGCG
rnacentral:tRNA from 1 species